AAACUCUGUUGUUGAAGAAGAACGUGCGUGAGAGUAACUGUUCAUGCAGUGACGGUAUUCAACCAGAAAGUCACGGCUAACUACGUGCCAGCAGCCGCGGUAAUACGUAGGUGGCAAGCGUUAUCCGGAUUUAUUGGGCGUAAAGCGAGCGCAGGCGGUUGCUUAGGUCUGAUGUGAAAGCCUUCGGCUUAACCGAAGAAGUGCAUCGGAAACCGGGCGACUUGAGUGCAGAAGAGGACAGUGGAACUCCAUGUGUAGCGGUGGAAUGCGUAGAUAUAUGGAAGAACACCAGUGGCGAAGGCGGCUGUCUGGUCUGCAACUGACGCUGAGGCUCGAAAGCAUGGGUAGCGAACAGGAUUAAAUACCCUGGUAGUCCAUCCCGUAAACGAUGAGUGCUAGGUGUU
rnacentral:rRNA from 1 species